UGUUUUUUAUGAUGAUGAGUAUUACAUAAAUAUUCAAACACAAUCCCUUAAAUAUUUCCCAUUUUUCUAACAGUUAAUAAGAUUUUGUAUUAGUCCGUUUUCACACUGCUGAUAAAGACAUACCUACGACUGGGAAGAAAAAGAAGUUUAAUUGGACUUACAGUUGCACAUGGCAGGGGAGGCCUCAGAAUCACGGCAGGAGGUGAAAGGCACUUCUUACAUGGUGGCAGCAAGAGAAAAUGAGGAAGAAACAAAAGCAGAAACCCCUGAUAAACCCAUCAGCUCUCAUGAGACUUAUUCACUAUCCCAAGAAUAGCACGGGAAAGACUGGCCCCCAUGAUUCAAUUACCUCCCCCUAAGGUCCCUCCCACAAGAUGAGAUUAGGGUGGGGACACAGAGUUAAACCAUAUCAGAUUUGUAAAGGCAGUCAAUAUAAAUUCUUUUAUAAUCCCUCAUAAUAAUGAUCAUAAAAUAGACUCUGAAUAACUAUUUAAAAAGUGAAUGGAUAUGUGUUUAUAAAAUAAUGCUAUUUUAACUUUUAAAUGUAGAUGAUGCUUUCCAAGUAGAAAAAAAUAAAACUAAAAAAGCUGAUAAAGCAAUUCAUUUUAUCCUAAAGUUGUUUAACUAUCAACAAACAUCGUUCUAACUGUACAUGCUCAAAACCUGCAAAUAUUAGGUUGAUACAAAAGUAAUUGUGGUUUUUCCCAUUUCUUUAAUGGCAAAGCAAUUACAUUUGUACCAACCUAAUAUUUUAAAGAAAAGAGGUUCAGUAAAAUUGAUAUUCUCCAAAGCCAAGCUAUCACCAAAACUCAUUGAAAGGCAAAGGGCUAUAAUGUUGAGUUUUUUUAAUUGUCUGGGUUCAAGCUGUUACAUCCUUAAUAAUGAUUUAUUUGAUCUGUUAUUGUCUCAAUGUGAUUUUACCAUUAGAAAGUAUAUACAUUUAGGUCUAGCUUUACAUUUUGAACCUCAUGGACAGGGGAAAAAGUCCAGAAACAGAAUCGAAUAAUCAAUACAGGGCUCACUGUUUGUUUUCUUUGUCAAUAACUUUUAGUAGAUACAGUGUGUCUGUCUCAAUUGGCAGCAAAACAUCCCCUUAGCAUUCUGUCAAAAAAAAAAAAAAGAAGAAGAAGAAGAAGGAAAGGAAAGAAAAAAAAAGAAAGUGACUCACCAGAUAUUUCAGUUUCUUAGGCACAUGGUAGUAUUGUACUUCCUGGUCCUCAUGUGGUUGGGUAUGGUCACAUAAUUCUAGCUAAUGGAUUGUGAGUAAAGCAUUUAAUUGUCAAGGCAAACCCUCUCUCUAGAUGUCUCUU
rnacentral:lncRNA from 1 species